AAUAGAUACCCGGGUAGUCCACGCCGUAAACGAUGAGUGCUAAGUGUUAGAGGGUUUCCGCCCUUUAGUGCUGCAGCUAACGCAUUAAGCACUCCGCCUGGGGAGUACGGUCGCAAGACUGAAACUCAAAGGAAUUGACGGGGGCCCGCACAAGCGGUGGAGCAUGUGGUUUAAUUCGAAGCAACGCGAAGAACCUUACCAGGUCUUGACAUCCCACUGACCGGUAUAGAGAUAUACCUUUCCCUUCGUGGACAGUGGUGACAGGUGGUGCAUGGUUGUCGUCAGCUCGUGUCGUGAGAUGUUGGGUUAAGUCCCGCAACGAGCGCAACCCUUGAUCUUAGUUGCCAGCAUUUAGUUGGGCACUCUAAGGUGACUGCCGGUGACAAACCGGAGGAAGGUGGGGAUGACGUCAAAUCAUCAUGCCCCUUAUGACCUGGGCUACACACGUGCUACAAUGGAUGGUACAAAGGGCUGCAAGACUGCGAAGUCAAGCCAAUCCCAUAAAACCAUUCUCAGUUCGGAUUGCAGG
rnacentral:rRNA from 1 species